UUAUGGCAGCACUAUGGGCAGCCUAUGGCAUUAUGGGAUUGUUAUCGGGGUAUGGGGUCGGUACUUUACUUAUGGGGCAGCACUUAUGGGGCAGCUAUGGGGCUAUUAUGGGGUUGUUAUGGGGUUAUGGGGUUGUUAUGGGGUUAUGGGGUUAUUAUGGGGUUAUUAUGGGGUUAUGGGACCAGAACCGGAACCGCUGCUCAUCCUAUAGGGGACAAUUAUAUGGGGUUAUGGGGCAGCACUUAUGGGGCAGCACUUAUGGGGCAGCUAUGGGGCGGCACUUAUGGGGCAGCUAUGG
rnacentral:lncRNA from 1 species